rnacentral:rRNA from 1 species
GAUGAACGCUGGCGGCGUGCCUAAUACAUGCAAGUCGAGCGAACAGACGAGGAGCUUGCUCCUCUGACGUUAGCGGCGGACGGGUGAGUAACACGUGGAUAACCUACCUAUAAGACUGGGAUAACUUCGGGAAACCGGAGCUAAUACCGGAUAAUAUAUUGAACCGCAUGGUUCAAUAGUGAAAGACGGUUUUGCUGUCACUUAUAGAUGGAUCCGCGCCGCAUUAGCUAGUUGAUAAGGUAACGGCUUACCAAGGCAACGAUGCGUAGCCGACCUGAGAGGGUGAUCGGCCACACUGGAACUGAGACACGGUCCAGACUCCUACGGGAGGCAGCAGUAGGGAAUCUUCCGCAAUGGGCGAAAGCCUGACGGAGCAACGCUGCGUGAGUGAUGAAGGUCUUCGGAUCGUAAAACUCUGUUAUUAGGGAAGAACAAAUGUGUAAGUAACUAUGCACGUCUUGACGGUACCUAAUCAGAAAGCCACGGCUAACUACGUG